AGAAAAUCUGGUAGCGGCGGGAAUCGAACCCGGGACCUCUGAAUCUGUAGCCAGACGGUCCUAGGUUGCCAGAUAAAAUGCUGAAAGGAAAGGGACCAACCAAAAGAAGUUCGUUGGCCAAAUAUUUAGUAGCCAAGAGAUGGAAGAAACAACAACACACAGAAAUGUCUUCUGAAGUAUGUGAAAGAAAUGAAAGUGCUUUGAUAGAGAAUUUCUCUUCAGCAUCAUCUUCCCAGGGAUGUGCAUUGAUGCUGCCCAAGACAGUUUGUUAUGGAGUACCCAUUAAGCAACUUUGAAAGGUGUUAAGGUCUGGUGGGAAACCAAAGGAGCUAGUUGGGAUGGCUUCAGUGAAAGUGUAUCAUGCUUUGGAAUAUGGUUGUGGUCAUUGGAGCCAUUCUACCUAAAAGAAAAGCUCCUUGUGCCCCUGCCAGAACUUAAAAGUCAUGUGGUCAUAAUUCAUCAUGGAACA